rnacentral:rRNA from 1 species
UACGUAGGGUGCGAGCGUUAAUCGGAAUUACUGGGCGUAAAGGGUGCGCAGGCGGUUUGCCAAGUCUGACGUGAAAGCCCCGGGCUUAACCUGGGAACGGCGUUGGAAACUGGUAGACUUGAGUGCGGCAGAGGGGGGUAGAAUUCCACGUGUAGCAGUGAAAUGCGUAGAUAUGUGGAGGAAUACCGAUGGCGAAGGCAGCCCCCUGGGUUGACACUGACGCUCAUGCACGAAAGCGUGGGUAGCAAACAGG